CAUUGAAACACCUGUUCCCAUAGGAUCACCAAAGUUACUUAACAUUGAGCCUAAUCAGUACUAAGAUGUGUGACCACUUGGGAAUACCAGGUGCU